AGGCUUAGGUUAAUAGAACUAAACCAGGGACCUUCAAAGCCCCAAAAAGAGGUGUAACUCUAGUCUCCG
rnacentral:tRNA from 1 species